rnacentral:rRNA from 1 species
GACGAACGCUGGCGGCGUGCCUAAUACAUGCAAGUCGAGCGAGCGAAACUAACAGAUUUACUUCGGUAAUGACGUUAGGAAAGCGAGCGGCGGAUGGGUGAGUAACACGUGGGGAACCUGCCCCAUAGUCUGGGAUACCACUUGGAAACAGGUGCUAAUACCGGAUAAGAAAGCAGAUCGCAUGAUCAGCUUUUAAAAGGCGGCGUAAGCUGUCGCUAUGGGAUGGCCCCGCGGUGCAUUAGCUAGUUGGUAAGGUAAAGGCUUACCAAGGCGAUGAUGCAUAGCCGAGUUGAGAGACUGAUCGGCCACAUUGGGACUGAGACACGGCCCAAACUCCUACGGGAGGCAGCAGUAGGGAAUCUUCCACAAUGGACGCAAGUCUGAUGGAGCAACGCCGCGUGAGUGAAGAAGGUUUUCGGAUCGUAAAGCUCUGUUGUUGGUGAAGAAGGAUAGAGGUAGUAACUGGCCUUUAUUUGACGGUAAUCGACCAGAAAGUCACGGCUAACUACGUG